UAAAAUGUAUUUACAGGUUUUUUUUUGUUGAAUGAAAAGCGCCAUCUGUAUGAAUCACAACAGAGUACAGUACAAACCAGUUCAUUCCUCAAUUGCAAUUGCCUUGUGCAACAAAGCACAUGGCUGUAGUAUUGGAACCGGCUCGUCCAUUGGAUGAGUGGUUGCACUGCGUCACAGCGUGGUGUUACUUCCUUAAGUUUCAAUAAAUAAAAUCCCCUGCACGAUCACCGCACAGGGGAAGGGAUCGAUGACUGGACGAGCACGAGCACACACAAAUGCAUUGCUAAUGGGGGAGGAGGUGAUGAGUGGGUUACUGUUGCAGCAACCGGUUCUAGCUAGUUACGUGAACUACGGCUCAUUCCGGUAUGAGCAGAUUCCAUGUCCUUUGGGUUGGACAAAACAGGGCUUUGUACGAAAGAUUGGAAAUCCCAAUGGGUGGGUGGGUGUGUGUGUGAUUGACCUCUGCUGUACGUGGAAUCACAGACCGGUUUGGCAGAGAGUAGUACUACCGAAGAAGUUACAAAAUCCGUUUAAGAAGACGGGGGACAGAGGAUCAAGAAUGCGCUGGAACGAACCACCUGGAACCAGUUUGUCUAGGAUGUGGACUCCUCUUCAGCUGAUCCCCUGAGCUCUUGGGAGCGCCGAAGACAAGAGCGACUUUUAAAUGUCGCAGUAAGUUCAAUCAAAUCGCCAAUCAUCAGAGAUGACGCUUUGCCAUCUACUGUGAUAUUGCCUCAGAAAGUGCCCUUAAGAUCACACUUAGAUGCAAGAUUGUGCAAUAUCGCCUGGUUGUGCUGGAACCGGCUGCAACUGUCAGCUGCAAAUACGAUUAGGGCAAAUAAAGUGCAGUGUCAACAGACGGCCCUCCGAUGUGUUCAACACUUAUAUGCACGAUAUGGGCAGUAGAAAAAAAAAACCCCUGGAGACGAUGACGCGUAACUGCAAAUUGCGCCGGCCUGGGUCUCGUUGCGCAACCCGUGCACUUUAUGGUUGUGUUCGUGUGUGUAUGUGUGUGGUAGUCGCAAGUGUUUCUAUCAACUAUUCAGCAAAAAUUGUGGUAGGCUCUUGAACGGAAACAGUGUGGCCAAACGGAUUCAGGAAGCACCUUAUAAAUCAUGCUGGACAGAGCGGCGAUAAACCUUCACCAGAAGGAAUGUCUACCAGUCUGCUCUUCCCUGUUUCCCCCCAACAUUACCGUUUCUCUACUGCCUUGAAAAGGAAAGGCGGCCAGACCGGCCGGGUCGCUUCAUCUCUCGUGCUCUGCCAAUAAACUUCCGCCAUUUCAUAAAUAUUUACACCAAUCCCUCAUCCCCUCCCCACCAUGCCAUGUGAAUGUGACAAGAGAGGGGGAGGAAAAAGGAGACAUUUUAAUUGCACCCAACUGUGGCUGCACGUGGGCGGGCCGGCGCUGCUGCCGCCGCAACCGGGUUGUCGUCCUUGACUCGUGAGAAUUUUACAUGCACACUCGCACACAGCCGAGUGACCAGAAAUCAGCAGCAAUGGCAGCUGUGUGUGUGUGUGUGUGUGUGUCGAAUGCGGCUUUGAUCGACUGGCGCCAGCAGCAGCUCGAUCGAGACAACGGUUUUGAUUGGCCACCGGAAGGGGUUGGUUCAAGCGCGGGGUGGUUCAAGCGCGUCAUCGGGUUGGGUGUGUGUUAGCACGCGGUGUGCAAUGACUACGAUACAGCCGUGAUUAAGCAGAUCAAGCGGCACGGUCACACAGAGCCACACACACACACACCCCGUGCGAUCUUCGCUUUGUCAUCUUCGCUUUGUUGUGACGUUGAGAGUAAAGUUUGCUUACUUGUUUUACUAGACCUAUAAAAAUAGUCGUCAAAUCGUAACAAAGUUGCUUGGAGACUGUAUAAUUACCACAAAUCUACUGGACCUUUUCCAGAGUUACUAUACUUUGUUAUUUUUCUUAGCCACAGACUUCUGCUAUGCUUAACUGUCCUGUACAUUGCAAUCUGUUCCAUUUGUUCAAUAAACAUCCAGUGCGUUUGCGCUUUUCUUUGUCAAUCCA